rnacentral:rRNA from 1 species
CACGUAGGGCGCAAGCGUUGUCCGGAAUUAUUGGGCGUAAAGAGCUCGUAGGCGGUCUGUUGCGUCCGCUGUGAAAACUCGGGGCUUAACCCCGAGCCUGCAGUGGAUACGGGCAGACUAGAGGUAGGUAGGGGAGAAUGGAAUUCCCGGUGUAGCGGUGAAAUGCGCAGAUAUCGGGAGGAACACCGGUGGCGAAGGCGGCUCUCUAGUACGGUACUGACGCUGAGACGCGAAAGCGUGGGGAGCGAACAGG